rnacentral:rRNA from 1 species
UACGAAGGGGGCUAGCGUUGCUCGGAAUCACUGGGCGUAAAGCGCACGUAGGCGGCUUUCUAAGUCAGGGGUGAAAUCCUGGAGCUCAACUCCAGAACUGCCUUUGAUACUGGAGAGCUCGAGGGAGGUAGGGGUCUGUGGAACUUCCGGUGGAGCGGUGAAAUGCGUUGAUAUCGGAAGGAACGCCGGUGGCGAAAGCGACGGACUGGAUCUCUUCUGACGCUGAGGCGCGAAAGCCAGGGGAGCAAACGGG